GACGAACGCUGGCUGCGUGCUUAACACAUGCAAGUCGAACGGAAAGGCCCUGCUUUUGUGGGGUGCUCGAGUGGCGAACGGGUGAGUAACACGUGAGUAACCUGCCCUUGACUUUGGGAUAACUUCAGGAAACUGGGGCUAAUACCGGAUAGGAGCUCCUGCUGCAUGGUGGGGGUUGGAAAGUUUCGGCGGUUGGGGAUGGACUCGCGGCUUAUCAGCUUGUUGGUGGGGUAGUGGCUUACCAAGGCUUUGACGGGUAGCCGGCCUGAGAGGGUGACCGGCCACAUUGGGACUGAGAUACGGCCCAGACUCCUACGGGAGGCAGCAGUGGGGAAUAUUGCACAAUGGGCGGAAGCCUGAUGCAGCAACGCCGCGUGCGGGAUGACGGCCUUCGGGUUGUAAACCGCUUUCGCCUGUGACGAAGCGUGAGUGACGGUAAUGGGUAAAGAAGCACCGGCUAACUACGUGCCAGCAGCCGCGGUGAUACGUAGGGUGCGAGCGUUGUCCGGAUUUAUUGGGCGUAAAGGGCUCGUAGGUGGUUGAUCGCGUCGGAAGUGUAAUCUUGGGGCUUAACCCUGAGCGUGCUUUCGAUACGGGUUGACUUGAGGAAGGUAGGGGAGAAUGGAAUUCCUGGUGGAGCGGUGGAAUGCGCAGAUAUCAGGAGGAACACCAGUGGCGAAGGCGGUUCUCUGGGCCUUUCCUGACGCUGAGGAGCGAAAGCGUGGGGAGCGAACAGGCUUAGAUACACUGGUAGUCCACGCUGUAAACGGUGGGUACUAGGUGUGGGGUCCAUUCCACGGGUUCCGUGCCGUAGCUAACGCUUUAAGUACCCCGCCUGGGGAGUACGGCCGCAAGGCUAAAACUCAAAGGAAUUGACGGGGCCCCGCACAAGCGGCGGAGCAUGCGGAUUAAUUCGAUGCAACGCGUAGAACCUUACCUGGGUUUGACAUGGAUCGGGAGUGCUCAGAGAUGGGUGUGCCUCUUUUGGGGUCGGUUCACAGGUGGUGCAUGGCUGUCGUCAGCUCGUGUCGUGAGAUGUUGGGUUAAGUCCCGCAACGAGCGCAACCCUUGUUCACUGUUGCCAGCACGUUAUGGUGGGGACUCAGUGGAGACCGCCGGGGUCAACUCGGAGGAAGGUGGGGAUGACGUCAAGUCAUCAUGCCCCUUAUGUCCAGGGCUUCACGCAUGCUACAAUGGCUGGUACAGAGAGUGGCGAGCCUGUGAGGGUGAGCGAAUCUCGGAAAGCCGGUCUCAGUUCGGAUUGGGGUCUGCAACUCGACCUCAUGAAGUCGGAGUCGCUAGUAAUCGCAGAUCAGCAACGCUGCGGUGAAUACGUUCCCGGG
rnacentral:rRNA from 1 species